AUUGAACGCUGGCGGCAGGCCUAACACAUGCAAGUCGAGCGAGCGGCGGACUGGUGAGUAAUGUCUGGGAAACUGCCUGAUGUGGGGGGUUAACUGCUGGAAACGGUAGCUAAUACCGCAUACCAUCAGAUGUGCCCAGAUGGGAUUAGUUAGUGGUUGGGGUAAUGGCUCACCUGGGCGACGCUCCCUAGCUGGUCUGAGAGGAUGACCAGCCAAACUGGAACGGAGACACGGUCCAGACUCCUACGGGAGGAAGCGGUGGGGAAUAUUGGACAAUGGGCGCAAGCCGGAUGCAGACAUGCCGCAUGUGGAAAGAAGGCCUUCGGGUUGUAAAGCACUUUCAGCGGGGAGGCGUUACCCGCAGAAGAAGCACCGGCUAACUACGUACCAGCAGCCGCGGUAAUAC
rnacentral:rRNA from 1 species